GAAACGACUGCUAAGACUGGAUAGGAAGAAAGAAGGCAUCUUAUUUUUUUUAAAAGACCUAGCAAUAGGUAUACUUAAGGAGGGGCUUGCGCCACAUUAGUUAGUUGGUAGGGUAAAGGCCUACCAAGACGAUGAUGUGUAGCUGGACUGAGAGGUUGAACAGCCACAUUGGGACUGAGACACGGCCCAAACUCCUACGGGAGGCAGCAGUAGGGAAUUUUCGGCAAUGGAGGAAACUCUGACCGAGCAACGCCGCGUGAACGACGAAGUAUUUCGGUAUGUAAAGUUCUUUUAUCAAGGAAGACAAGCAAGUGGCGAAAAAUUAUUUUGACGGUACUUAAUGAAUAAGCCCCGGCUAAUUAUGUGCCAGCAGCCGCGGUAAGACAUAAGGGGCAAGUGUUAUCCGGAAUUAUUGGGCGUAAAGGGUGCGUAGGCGGUUUAGUAAGUCUAUAGUUUAAUUGCAACGCUUAACAUUGUCCUGCUAUAGAAACUGUUAAACUAGAGUUAGAUAGAGGCAAGUGGAAUUCCAUGUGUAGCGGUAAAAUGCGUAAAUAUAUGGAGGAACACCAGAGGCGUAGGCGGCUUGCUGGGUCUUUACUGACGCUGAGGCACGAAAGCGUGGGGAGCAAACAGGAUUAGAUACCCUGGUAGUCCACGCCGUAAACGAUGAGUACUAAGUGUCGGGUAAAACCGGUACUGAAGUUAACACAUUAAGUACUCCGCCUGAGUAGUACGUACGCAAGUAUGAAACUUAAAGGAAUUGACGGGACUCCGCACAAGCGGUGGAUCAUGUUGUUUAAUUCGAAGAUACCCGAAAAACCUUACCAGGUCUUGACAUGUUUCUGCAAAGCUAUAGCAAUAUAGUGGAGGUUAUCAGAAAUACAGGUGGUGCAUGGUUGUCGUCAGCUCGUGUCGUGAGAUGUUAGGUUAAGUCCUAAAACGAGCGCAACCCUUAUCACUAGUUGCCAGCACGUUAUGGUGGGGACUUUAGCGAGACUGCCAAUGAUAAAUUGGAGGAAGGUGAGGAUCACGUCAAAUCAUCAUGCCCCUUAUGACCUGGGCUACAAACGUGAUACAAUGGCUGUUACAAAGGGUAGCUGAAACGCAAGUUCUUGGCCAAUCUCCAAAAACAGUCUCAGUUCGGAUUGAAGUCUGCAACUCGACUUCAUGAAGUUGGAAUCGCUAGUAAUCGCGAAUCAGCAUGUCGCGGUGAAUACGUUCUCGGGGUUUGUACACACCGCCCGUCA
rnacentral:rRNA from 1 species